UGGUCUAUGGUGUAAUUGGCAGCACGGCUGAUUCUGGUUCAGUUAGUCUUGGUUCGAGUCCAGGUAGACCAGC
rnacentral:tRNA from 2 species